ensembl:lncRNA
GGGCUCUGCCUUCACCUGGAUUUUGGGGAGGGUCCCCAGUGGGUGCCGCCCCCUCCCCAAAUUUUGGGGACCCCCCCCACCCAAAUUUUGGGGACCCCCUCCCCCCUAAAAAAAAAAAUUUGGAAUAAAAUCUGUGGAGAACGGAGCGGAGCUUGGUGAUUUGGGGAGGGGGGAAAAGGGAUUCGGGGGGGCGUUUUUCAUUUUGGGGAGGGGUCUUGGCUCCUUUUUUGGGGUUAUUUUGGCAAUUUUGGGGUUGUUUUGGCAAUUUUGGGGGGUUUUAUCCAUUUUCUGGGGUUAUUUUGCUGCUUUUUUAAGGGUUUUUUUGCUCAUUUUUGGGUUUUUUUACCCCUUUUUGGUUUAUUUUUUCCCUUUUUUGGGGUAGUUUUGCUCCAUUUUGGGGUAAUUUUGUUCCAUUUUGGGGUUUUUUACCCCUUUUUGGUUUAUUUUUUCCCUUUUUUGGGGUAAUUUUGCUCCAUUUUGGGGUAAUUUUGUUCCAUUUUGGGGUUUUUUACCCCUUUUUGGUUUAUUUUUUCCUUUUUUGGGGUAAUUUUGCUCCAUUUUGGGGUUAUUUUACUCCUUUUUGGGUUGAUUUUACCACUUUUUGGGGUUAUUGCAUCACUUUUUGGUUGCGUUCUACCCUUUUUUUUGGUUCUUCUACCCCAUUUUGGGGUUAUUUUACCCCAUUUUGGGGUUAUUUUACUUCUUUUUGGGUCAUUUUACCCCAUUUGGGGGUUAUUUUGCUCCUUUUGUGGUAAUUUUUCUCCAUUUUGGACGUAUUUUACCCCUUUUUUGGGUGUAUUUUACCCCUUUUUUGGGUGUAUUUUACCCCAUUUUGGGGUUAUUUUACCCCAUUUUGGGGUUUUUUUUACCCCCGGGGGGCAGAAUUUACCCCUUGGGGGGGUCGUUUCUUCUCUUUUUGGGGUCAUUUUACCUCUUUUUGGAUUUACCCCUUGGGGGGGUCGUUUCUUCUCUUUUUGGGGUCAUUUUACCUCUUUUUGGGGCAGUUUUAUUCCCAGAGGUCCCGAAUUUGCCCCCGGGGGUCCCGAAUUUGCCCCCGGGGGUCCCGAAUUUGCCCCCAAAGGUUCCAAAUUUGCCCCCGGAGGUUCCGAAUUUGCCCCCAAAGUUUCCAAAUUUGCCCCGGGGGUCCCGAAUUUGCCCCUGGGGGUCCCGAAUUUGCCCCCAAAGGUUCCGAAUUUGCCCCCGGGGGUCCCGAAUUUGCCCCCGGGGUCCCGAAUUUGCCCCCGGGGGUUCCAAAUUUGCCCCCAAAGUUUCCAAAUUUGCCCCCGGGGGUCCCGAAUUUGCCCCCGGGGGUUCCAAAUUUGCCCCCGGGGUCCCGAAUUUGCCCCCGGGGGUCCCGAAUUUGCCCCCAAAGGUUCCAAAUUUGCCCCCGGAGGUUCCGAAUUUGCCCCCGGGGGUUCCAAAUUUGCCCCCGGGGGCCCCGAAUUUGCCCCCGGAGGUCCCGAAUUUGCCCCCGGGGGUCCCGAAUUUGCCCCCGGGGGUCCCGAAUUUGCCCCCAAAGGUUCCAAAUUUGCCCCCGGGGGUCCCGAAUUUGCCCCCGGAGGUCCCGAAUUUGCCCCCGGGGGGUUGAAUUUGCCCCGGGGGGGGCAGCAGAAGCCCCCUCCCCAAAGAACGGGAGUAACUCGUACUAAAAUAGUCGCUUUUAUUCGUUAGCAAAAUUAGUGAUUGGGGGGUUAUUUACAGGCAACCCCCCCGCGGGGAACUGGGAGGGACUGGGAGGGACUGGGGGAACUGGGAGGGACUGGGAGGAACUGGGAGG